rnacentral:tRNA from 1 species
AUUUAAAUAGCUUAAAGUUAAGAGCAUAAUAUUGAAGAUAUUAAGGUGAUUGUUAAAUCUUUAAAUA